UACGGAGGGUGCAAGCGUUGUUCGGAAUUACUGGGCGUAAAGGGCGCGUAGGCGGGUCUGUAAGUCGAUUGUGAAAGCCCAGAGCUUAACUUUGGAAUGGCAGUCGAAACUGCAGGUCUUGAAUGUCUGAAAGGGUAGGGGAAUUCCUGGUGUAGAAGUGAAAUUCGUAGAUAUCAGGAGGAACACCGGAGGCGAAAGCGCCUGCCUGGCAGUGCAUUGACGCUAAAGUGCGAAAGCGUGGGGAGCAAACAGG
rnacentral:rRNA from 1 species